UGUGUUGAAAAUCGUUUGCAC
ensembl:ncRNA